rnacentral:rRNA from 1 species
UUAAGUUACUCCGGUGGAUCACUUGGCUCGCGGGUCGAUGAAGAACGCAGUGAAUUGCGAUAAUAAGUACGAAUUACAGAUAUUAUGAGUACCAUGUUUUUGAAUGCAUAUUGCGCUCUUGGGCUUUGCUCUUGAGCAUAUCCGAUUCAGGGUGUGUUUUU